UUUCCGUAGGUGAACCAGCGGAAGGAUCAUUAAAGUUAUAGUCCCCCGGCCCUCUGGGCUGGGGUCUUCUAUACCACCCUUUGUUUAUUACACCUUUGUUGCUUUGGCAGGCCUGCCCUCGGGCUGCUGGCUCCGGCCGGCUCGCGUCUGCCAGAGGACCUAAACUCUGUUUGUAUAUGAAGUCUGAGUACUAUAUAAUAGUUAAAACUUUCAACAACGGAUCUCUUGGUUCUG
rnacentral:misc_RNA from 1 species